AUUGAACGCUGGCGGCAGGCUUAACACAUGCAAGUCGAGCGGAGCGAGGGUGCUUGCACCUUAGCUUAGCGGCGGACGGGUGAGUAAUGCUUAGGAAUCUGCCUAUUAGUGGGGGACAACAUUCCGAAAGGGAUGCUAAUACCGCAUACGCCCUACGGGGGAAAGCAGGGGAUCUUUGGACCUUGCGCUAAUAGAUGAGCCUAAGUCGGAUUAGCUAGUUGGUGGGGUAAAGGCCUACCAAGGCGACGAUCUGUAGCGGGUCUGAGAGGAUGGUCCGACACACUGGGACUGAGACACGGCCCAGACUCCUACGGGAGGCAGCAGUGGGGAAUAUUGGACAAUGGGGGGAACCCUGAUCCAGCCAUGCCGCGUGUGUGAAGAAGGCCUUUUGGUUGUAAAGCACUUUAAGCGAGGAGGAGGCGCUCUAGGCUAAUACCCUAGAUGCGUGGACGUUACUCGCAGAAUAAGCACCGGCUAACUCUGUGCCAGCCGCCGCAGUAAGAC
rnacentral:rRNA from 1 species